CAACGAUCUUUUCGAGUGGCUACUACUAAUGAAUCGAAGAAUCUUUUUACAAGAUGUAUCGAGGAUUGUGUCGGAGUUGUGAAAUUUCUUACGAACGGUUGAUUUAUCGUCGAUCAUUUAAAACAAAUUGGCAUUUAUUUAACGUGGAUCGAUAGUAUCAACGGUGAAAAUUUUUCCACGUUUCUGGUCGCUUGUAAACAAUGAACGUUCCGAAAGUGUAGCCCUCAGACAACUGGAACUUUCGAAAAUGAAGUUCGAAAGCCACGGUGUAGCACUACCCCUGCAGGGGCGCAUAUUUGAGUAGCCAUUAACGGCUUUGGCGCGGUUGCUUGUCAGUCGAUAAAAGUUUUCAUCGUGUCUUUCUUCCACUGUCUCCUUCGCUCUCUCUUUCUUAUUGCCUUUCUCUUCGUUCGUUCCGUCUUUCUUCUCUUCGCUCGACUCUCUUCCCUUGUUUCUCUCUGUUCGUCCCUGUCUUGCCACGAUGAUUCACAAUUUCGCCGUCUUCUUUACUCGCUAUCUGAAAAUUCAGCCAAAGCGAAACUCCAAACGACGGACCGCGUCCUCGGUUACCAGGAUUUCCAUUCGUGAUAGAAGCGGCGUAAGUGUCGGUGCGUUAAUAGACUUGAGCUUAACUUCUCUACUAAUGGUCGGCACGGUCAAAUUUGAUAUCCAUUAAGCAUAAUGAGAUAAUAAAGUCGCCGAAUGGUCGUCGUUGAAUUAAUGGUUAAGUAAAAUAAGGAUGCUCGAGGCAGCGCGGUUAAAUUCAUCUCUCCAUUAUGGUUCCCUGUUUCCUAUAGCAACACGUAAAACCCGCGUAUUCGCAGCGUGUCUUUCAAUUUAUUUCACUCGUUUUACUUAAAUUUCUACCAGUUUUAUCACACGAGAAGCAGACAAUUCGUUUACGCUCCUGUUUCGUUCUACGAUAAAGAGUUACGUAGAAAUUUGAACCGCGUUAAAUAGCUCUCCUGAAAUAGUUCUUUGCCUAAGAUAUGUCGAGUUGUUUGUUUCAGCGAUGGCGUUCAUUCGAUCCUCUCAAAUUUAUGCCCGGCACGAAGUAAAUGCAUAGAAACGCGAACCGCGAAAUGUCAGAGAAACGAAAUAACAUUCAGUAGUUUUGAGGGUUAAAGUGCUGUUAGUAACAAUGCAAUACGUAGCUAUGCAUGGUCAAAGCAACUAUUCGAAAUACCAGUCGCGAUAGAUUCGUUGUAUAAAGUGUACUCUUGUAGAAUUCUAGAAAUAAUUCGUUUAUCCAAUACUAUAGCGAAAAAAUGUAGAUACAAAAGGGAAUAGUCGGUAUUCAAAAUUCGUCAAAAGAAUCUAUCAAACCCGUUACAAAUCAGUUGGAAAAUAUUAUUCGACGUGAUAAAAAUCAUCGCUACAUCGGACAUUUGACUUUCACGAAUGGUGAUCUCAUGUUACGCGAGCAUAGAAUUCGCUUUGUAUCAAAGAAUAUACAUGACACUGGCGAAUAAAUAAAUGCAGAUUUCUGCGAGGAUUUUUCAUUAUCCGCGGAUACGAGCGGGCCGGACACGCGUCAUAAAUCAGCGGUACUCUCGCGUUCGUAGAAAAAUAAAUGAACUUUUACGAAGUUUCGUUCGUCGCUCGAAACUCCAUGGACACCGCGUAUAUCACGUUGUCAUUCCGGUCGUCGUGAUUCUGGGAUGCGGAAAAGUGUGAGUGAGCGAAUGAGCGAACGAGAGGCAGGAAGAGAGAAAGGGAGGAAGAGAGAGAGAGAGAGAGAAAGAUAGAGAGAAUGAGAAGCACAAAUUAGAUUAAAGCUCGAUAAUUAAAACUAGAGGUUCGACGGUGUAAUCUGCUGAUGAAAAUCUGCUCGUGUUUUGCCUCGCGCCGCCACUGCUAUCCGUAGCCAGUUUCGAUUUUAUUUAAAACGCGUUAAACAACUACGUUGCGGUUAAUGCGACCAUCCAUAAAUCGUUCGACUGGGAUAAAAGUUAUCUACCUGUCGCGGGCGAUCAUUUGGCAAUGCGUUAUUGCGCUUUAGUCACUUAUUCAACGAGUAUUUUUAGCUGUAGGACCAAUGGAUUAACGAAACUCUCCAGGUGAACCGAAAUUUAUGGCGAUACACAGUAACAAAGAAAAUAGCAUAUUAUUAACGCUGCGCAAUAAAUUACACCGGAUCAUCUUUAUAUUAUUAUAUGACGACGUUAUGUAUCUCUUGAAAGAUAAAGUUUUCAAUUCUGCGAUAUGAGAAUCAUUUACUAAAGGGAUAAAAAAAGGAAGCAAAAUAUCGCGAAGACAUUUUUCUUUUUUAUUUGAUUGAUCUCGUGUUCUCGUUCGUCUCGCAAUAAAUGCUGGCCAACGUUUUCACCGGAUCUAAGGUGAUCGGUACAAGCCGGUACCUUUAUUUUUCGCUAGUAAUUUUAGCGAAAACAACAGGAAGCAAUAAUAUUGGUACUGAACGUCAAGAUCGAGGCAAGAAUUCAACGAACCGAGCUGGAAUUGGUCACCUCGACGACGAUCAAUCUUCUACUUAAAAUCGCGAAAAUAAACGGGCGUGCCCGGCCGUGGUCGACUCGAUAUUGGUUUUCGAUUUUGUUUUCUCUACAACUUGCAGGGUACGUGAUCUUCCACGCGCCAUCAUCCGGAUCGCCAGGUAGAUUGGCCACGGUGAAUUAACAACCUUAUCAAAACGGCUACAAAAUUCUUCGAAAACGAUAUUACUUGGCUACGAUAUAGCCAACCUGUAUUUCAAAUCCGUGUAGAUCUUCGACGAAGAAAAAUAAACCGUACGAGAUAUUGAAUUAGCUGUCUCGAUCAAGUUAAUAGAUAUACAUAAAUCGCGGUCAUAAUAUUCGUUUUCGUGAAUUGCCGUCAACGAUAUGGCUGAGAGAAAGCUUCUUUUAUUUCACGAUAAAAUCAGAAAUCGCAGGAGAGGAGGGAAAUUACAAAGCAGUCUGGCAAAAUUUGUCUUCCGCUGCUUUCACAAGCAUGUGUGUCCUGGCUUGUCAAAUUGCCUGCUUCGUUUAUUUUCCGCGAACUUUGAUAUCUCGGUGUACAAACAAGGAUACGAGAUAAUUAUUAUAUUUCACCGGUAAGGUGACCAUACUAGUGGAGAAUGGUUGGGAAUUUCAGGAACGAUUAAAUACGCGUGGUAAAACCCUGUUGUUUCUGCAACUAUCGCUGCGUCGUAACAUUUUACCGAGGUAGAUUCACCUGAAAAUAAGAGCUUACCAUAAUUGCUAUUCAUCACAUUAAACACUGGUUCUUCGGAAUGAUUGUAAUUAACAAAACUGCUAUUAUGCGCUCAACGAUUAACACGGUUGUUACGUUACAAAGUAUGCUCUUAAUGGAGGAAUUAAUCAAUUUAUAAGGGGAUGAACCCGAAGCGCUGUUGCUUCGUAAGUACGGAGUUAUAAAUUGCUGGCCAUAGACGGUACGCUGGCAACAGUCACGGUCGAUUCUUGGAAUGCACCACCUACAAUUCCAGGAAUCCUCGACUCGUUGCUCUUAUAAGGAACUCUGUUUCCAGCCAAUCAGAAUGUUAAACGAAAAUCUCUUCAGCUAUUCGCAAUCGGAUUGAAUUCGAACAAUGUAUCAAGCAGAAGAUACGCAAUAUAAAAAUAAAUUUUUCAUACUAUAUGUAGGUGAAAUAAAAUUUUAUUUCUCAGUAAUCUAACGUGUAUCAUAUAAAUAUCAAAUUAAUAAAUCAUCCAUUGAUAUUA